rnacentral:lncRNA from 1 species
CGCAAUAGUAAUAAAUAGACUUUUGGUAUAUAGAAAAAUAUUCAUGAACGGAAUCAAAAUUUCUAGGUGAAUUCAGUGAAUUUCCAAUGGGAGAUGCUUGUAUGAGUGUGGUUUUCAAGAUAUAGCAACAUUUUAACGAAGGGAAUCUAAGUAUCAUGGUGAAUUCAGCAGGUUCCCAGUAGGAUUCGCAUUUAAUAAGACUACUAUUCAAGAUAGAGCCACGUUUUAACGAACUGAAACACUUUUUGUUUGUGAAUUCAGUUAGUUCCCCUUAGCAGGCUAUUGUAAUAUGUGUACUUAUAAAGCUUAAUCAAAAUUUCGUGAGCUGAAACUAGGUAACUUGGUGAAAUCAGUUAGUUCCCAAUAGGCCGCAAUAGUAAUACGUUACUGCUCGGGAUAUAGAAAAAUUUUCAUGAAUGGAAUCAAAAUUUCUAGACGAAUUCAG